CUCACCAUGGGAUGGAGCUGGAGCAUCCUCUUCCUCCUGUCAGUAACUACAGGUGUCCACUCCCAGGUCCAGCUGCAGCAGUCUGGUCCUGAGCUGAGGAAACCUGGUUCCUCAGUGAAGUUGUCCUGCAAGGCUUCUGGCUACACCUUCACUAGCUAUACUAUGAACUGGAUGAAGCAGAGUCCUGGACAGGGCCUGGAGUGGAUUGGAUAUUUUUACCCUGGAAAUGGUGAAACUGGCUACAAUCAGAAGUUCAAGGACAAGGCCACAUUGACUGCAGACACAUCCUCCAGCACAGCCUACAUGGAGCUCAGCAGCCUGACAUCUGAGGACUCUGCGGUCUAUUACUGUGCAAAAAACACAGUGUUACAACAUAUAUAUUUUUAUAUCUAUGGGACUGGAACUGUUGAUGGAGUAGCUGGUUCAGGGUUGGAGCUGAGUGUUAUGUUGCGGAGUCCCCAGGGUGUGGAGUCUGCUGCUUUGGCAACAAGCUGGGUUCCUGCUCAGAUAGCUCUGGGGAAAGAGCAGUGGGAUUCCAAGCUGGGAAUGUAG